UUUCAAAGCAGCAGUGCUGUGUGGAGCCGGGGGCCAGCUGGGGACUGCCCCGCUGACCCCAGGCUCCACGUGGCGCUGCCGCUUUAAAA
rnacentral:pre_miRNA from 1 species